CGCCCCACCCGGCCUCCCACCGCGCCGCGCCGCCCCGCCCGACCUCCCAACGCACCGCGCCACCCCUGUUGGCGUCACCCCUGGACUCCGGCAGCGCUCCAGACCCUGCCGCUUGCUCCGUUGGCGAUGCCCGGUACAACCUGGACUUCGCCGCCACUCCUCCCCUGCACUCCCUUCCCCAUACUCCGUGGGUGACGCCCGGUACUGCUCUUCUCCCUACGCGCUGGUGCGUUGGUGUCGCCCCAAACAUGGGAGCCAUCCCAAGGCCGUAAGAGUCUCGAGCUUCCUGCAGUUCGAGGGCGAACACCGCAGGAUCUCCAGCAGGAAAGUGGUCGCACCAAGUUGAACUUGCUGCAGCACCAUCUUGACCAAGUCAAACUUGCAGCAGCCAGGGUACCACAGUCACUGGCAGCCGUCCACGAUGAGCUCUAACCGCAGUCCAAGUCGAACUACUACCACCAUCUUCACCAAGCGCUGCACUCAUUGUGCACCAACACAGUGCUUUCCAUGUCGAAAAACUAUGGAAAAUGGGGCAAAUAAUAUACCGUUGCCUCGUGUCUCAAAUGAUCUUAGAGAAGAGAUUUAGCCAGUCAGCAGCAUUUGUUGCCUUCACUCUGAUGGAAUAUGGUGGUGUUCCUCGGUACUCCACUCCAGAAUCUCUUUUGAAAAAAGCUCUCCAUGUCAUAGGUUGUGGCUACGAGGACAAGUCUGAAGGGGAACGAAGCUGAAAAAAGAGAAGAAUUUCUCUCAUCCUUCUUCUGAGAAGAUUGGGAUGGGAGUCUACGGGGCAGGCAAAGUGUGUUGUUGCUUCUACAAUUUCAAACAUUAAUUUGAGAAAAGUUAUUCCUCGGCUAAGUUUGAAAUAUGUCAUUUUGUGAAGUUUAGCUACUCAGCCAUGAACUACUAAAUGGUGGACUUGCAUUUUGUUUCUUCAGUACAUACAUGAGUUGAAUGUAAUACAUGGAACAUAUGUCAAAUCUCCAAGAUAGAGUUCAUAUUUAUUUUCUUCCAAGUAGCAAAUAUUUCUGUGGAUCAGUACAACUUCUGUACGACCUUUUGUUCACAAAUCUUGUAGUGUUGUUUCUACAUGAAUCUUUUUAGUACUUUUUAAAGCAAGCAUGGUCCAUUUGUAAAAGCAAGCGUUUUUAGUACUUUUUAAAGCAAGCAUGGUCCAUUUGUAAAAGCAAGCGUUUUUAGUACUUUUUAAAGCAAGCGUUUUAGGUGGCCAAGUGUUAUUGAUUUGUGAGAGCUAAACAAAUUUCCUAUUCAAGUGGAAGCUCCCAGUAUAUGAUGGAUGUGGGAGUUAUUUUUACAUUCACUGUUCAGUGCUUCUCUUUGUGUAAUGUUUUAUGUUUUUAAGUGCUUGUUGAAAAUUUAUGUUCCUAGUAGUUCAUGUAUUACUGCGUGAGGAGUUCACGUGUUAUUGCCCAGUAAGUAAACUAUUAAUGACUCUCAAGUGAUGAAAAAAAUGGGCAGUGAUGAAAAAAAUGGGCACUAAUCUAUGACUAAAAAUAUCAUUCAGUUCAACGAUAUAAACCAUGCAAGUUCGGGGACGAUUAUAUAGUAACCGCUGAAAAGUUACGAGCAAAACUCUAACAAAAAACAUAGUAAAGUCGAGUCUGUGAAAGUACACGUUCAGCACAAACUCAUGCGGAGAUCAGUUCGAGUACUGUGUUUCCGAAACAGAAAAAAAAGCACAACCAGUAUCACCGUAUUCAAAACUACUCUGUGAAAAAUACCUCAGUACAAACAUAGUCAUAGAUCAGUAUGAAUACUCUGUUUUUUAGACAGGAAAAAACAACACGAUGGGUUUCACCUUAUUCAAAAUUACUCUUAAACGGUUGUGAAGUAGAAAAAAGUUUAACAUGACUAAGUUUCACAUUUUCGAUAGCAGCUAUCCAAUGGUAUAUUAUUUGCCCCAUUUCGACAAACUUUUUAGAAAAAUCGCGUUCGAAAUCAAAUUUGACCGUACUCGAAUUCGAGUUUAAACCGUAAGGAAUUAGAAAAACAUUUCUACACGAAAAAGUUGUGCAUUUUCCAUAGCUUUCCAACGUUGUAUCAUUUGCGUCAAUCCGACAAACCGUUUGCAAAAAAAAGCAAAAAUACGUUUCGCCCAGAAUUUUACCAUUUUUCAAAUUACUUUUAAAUUGUAUACAAUUUUAAAAAAUAAUAGAUAUAUGAAAGAAGCGGAUUUUCACCAGCUUUCCAAUGCCAUCUUAUUUGCUCAAUUCCGAGAAACCGUUUGAAAAUUGAGUCCGAAAUACGAUUCGCAUUUUUGGUUUUGAAAAAACGGUUUUUUUCAAAACUGCUCUUAAACCGUGAUGGUUUUGUAAAAAAUUCCUAUAUAUUUGUAAUGUAGAUGUCAAGAGCUUUCCAAUGAUAUAUUACACGUCCCAUUCCGACGAAAAGACGAAUAGUUCGACGAGAUGAAAAUCGUCAGUACAACCGCCUAAAACAUCAGUUCAAGUAGGGUAACAGAAUAAUAUUCUAUUAUG